rnacentral:lncRNA from 1 species
AAUUACAAUUGAAAACCAUAUAAAUAGUAAAAGCAUAACCCUACCAGUGAUGAGUUUGGGCCAAACCAAUAAUACAAACCCAAUAACUAGAAAAAGUAAAAUAGUGCGAUAAUAAUAUAAGUGAUGUCCGCAUCAUAAUUGAAUUGAAUUUUCUUUACUCACAAGCAUACCUUUCUAUGUGCUAAUAGUUUUCUUGAAUUUUUUAGAAAAGUUUAGCCUCUCCUUUGAAGGCUUUGGUGUUGGCAGCUCCUGCUCCAUCAUCCUCUGCUGGAGCUGUUUCGUCCAAACCAGCUGAUGAAGGGACCACGCUUAAAGAGAAACCUUCAGUCCCGGAACCUUCAUCACAAUUAAUGGACGAGCCACCUUCUUCCCAGGGCGCCAACCCCCCAAACGUCGAACCAGAAGGUAAUACAUUUUCGAUGUUUUACCUUUGCUUGUGCUAUUGGUUUCUGAUUUGUUGCUUCUUUAAUCAUGCAGAGGCUCCCAUGGGUCUGUCCAUUGUGACAGAGUAUUCUCGCCCAGACAAGGGGAAGUCUCUCCUGGUGAUGGGGCCACAGGUGGUGGAGCCAACUAGUGAUAUGCCACCCUCCAAGAUUGCUGACGAGGUCACAUUUUGCUUCACUUUUAUUUUCACUUUGUUUAUUGUAGUGAAAACCUUCAACGUUGGCAUUUUUCUUUGCAGGAUGCUGAUGAGAUUGUGCGUUCCAUCCAGGACUUGUUCACUUUCUGGGGGCAAAUCAAAACGUCUCGCCCUGCUUCAACCGGUCGUCCUUGUGCUUCUUCAGAGGAAGACAUGAAGUUCGUCAAGCAGUCGAUAUUUGAGUAUGUAUCUUUUAUGGAUAUGGACAUCGGUCAGGCUAGUGCUGUCAAACAUAAAGAUAAACUUGAGUAUUUGAGUGCGAAGUUGGCGCAAGCACUGACACUUCCGUCGCUCAACAUUUCUGCUGAUUUUAAAGCGACGUUGAAAGUUGUCCACUUUGACAUCCUCUCUUUGCUGGCAAAUAAUAUUGGACUGAAAGCCAAGAGUACUCAAUAUCUUUGCGCUGCUUCUGAAAGAGAGUCUUUGCUUCGAGAGAUCAACAAAGCUGAGAACGAAUUGAAAGAAAUCUGUUCCGAAGUUAUGAUUGAAGACUCUUUGAUGACCAGUUUGGCUGCACAGAUGAAGGAGUUUCAAGCAAGGAUGGAUGACUACAAGGCGAGAAUGGCUGCUAAAAAGCUUAAUGCUUUCCAAGGAAUUGAACGAACCAAGUCUUUGGUCGAGCUGUACAAGAAGCUGGAGGUUGAUGAUAAUUAUGUAGCUGAAUUGAAUGUCACUUCUUCUCAACAGAGCGAGGAUUGGAGGAGACUUAGAGAAAGAAUUCGUUCGGUCUGGGGCGAAUUGUAAUUAAGACAUCUAAUACCUUAACUUUUCUUUUUGUAACUUCGUAUUAACUUUCCUCUUGUAACCUCGUACUGAUAGCCAUUGCCAAUUUUGGAUGUAACAGCAGUCAUUGUCAUUAAUGAACAACUUAUUUGUCUUCUUGUGUAUUUAUUGAUGUUUGUCUUUAAUCGUCAACCCUCC